rnacentral:rRNA from 2 species
CUAUAAUGGAAGUUGAAGCGAGCGGGUUCGAUGCUUGGCUGUAUCACGGUCCGGUAGACGGGUGAGUAACACGUGGGCAACCUGCCUGAAAGACUGGGAUAACUUCGGGAAACCGAAGCUAAUACCGGAUAGGAUCUUCUCCUUCAUGGGAGAUGAUUGAAAGAUGGUUUCGGCUAUCACUUACAGAUGGGUCCGCGGCGCAUUAUCUAGGUGGUGAGGUGACGGCUCACCAAGGCAACGAUGCAUAGCCGACCUGAGAGGGUGAUCGGCCACACUGGGACUGACACACGGCCCAGACUCCUACGGGAGGCAGCACUUCGGAAUCUUCCGAAAUGGACGACAGUCUGACCGACCAACCCCGCGUGAGUGAUGAACGCUUUCGGGUCGUAAAACUCUGUUGAUACGGAAGAACAAGUACGAGAGUAACUGCUCGUACCUUGACGGUACCUAACCAGAAAGACCCCGCUAACUACGUGCCAGCAGCCGCGGUAAUACGUAAGUGGCUAGCGUUAUCCGGAAUUAUUGGGCGUAAAGCGCGCGCGGGCGGUUUCUUAAGUCUGAUGUGAAAGCCCACGGCUCAGCCGGGGAGGGUCAUUGGAAACUGGGGAACUUGAGUGCAGAAGAGAAAAGCGGAAUUCCACGUGUAGCGCCGAAAUGCGCACAGAUGUGGAGGAACACCAGUGGCGAAGGCGGCUUUUUGGUCUGUAACUGACGCUGAG